UACGGAGGGAGCUAGCGUUGUUCGGAUAUACUGGGCGUAAAGCGCACGUAGGCGGCGCAGCAAGUCAGGGGUGAAAUCCCGGGGCUCAACCUCGGAACUGCCUUUGAUACUGCAAAUCUCGAGUCCGGAAGAGGUGAGUGGAAUUCCUAGUGUAGAGGUGAAAUUCGUAGAUAUUAGGAAGAACACCAGUGGCGAAGGCGGCUCACUGGUCCGGUACUGACGCUGAGGUGCGAAAGCGUGGGGAGCAAACAGG
rnacentral:rRNA from 1 species